rnacentral:sRNA from 1 species
GCCAGGCUUGGUGGCGCAGGCCUGUAAUCCCAAUGGCUUGGGAGGCUGAGGCAGGAGGAUCUUGAAUUCAAAGAUAACCUCAGCAAUUUAGCGAGAUGCUAAGCAGCUUGGUGAGACCCUGUCUCUA